UGGAAAGUUCAUUGUUCGACACCAUGGAUCUCCAGGUGGGUCACGUUUAGAGAUAGCACCAACCUGGAGGACUCCAUGCUGUUGAGCUGUUCACAA
rnacentral:pre_miRNA from 1 species